rnacentral:rRNA from 1 species
AGGCGACGAUCAGUAGCCGGCCUGAGAGGGUGAACGGCCACAUUGGGACUGAGACACGGCCCAAACUCCUACGGGAGGCAGCAGUGGGGAAUAUUGCACAAUGGGGGAAACCCUGAUGCAGCGACGCCGCGUGAGUGAUGAAGUAUUUCGGUAUGUAAAGCUCUAUCAGCAGGGAAGAUAAUGACGGUACCUGACUAAGAAGCACCGGCUAAAUACGUGCCAGCAGCCGCGGUAAUACGUAUGGUGCAAGCGUUAUCCGGAUUUACUGGGUGUAAAGGGUGCGUAGGUGGCAAGGCAAGUCUGAAGUGAAAAUCCGGGGCUCAACCCCGGAACUGCUUUGGAAACUGUUUAGCUGGAGUACAGGAGAGGUAAGUGGAAUUCCUAGUGUAGCGGUGAAAUGCGUAGAUAUU